CCCUGUUUUGCUCAUGUGUCACACAGUAGAGGAACUGGAAGGCUCUUCUCCCCCUGGUGAACACCCAGCACUUGCAACGCAUGGCCCUCGCUUGGACUUGCCAUGGUUUGGGGCAUAUAUGGGUCCGUGAACAAGCCUGUGCACACAUGUGUACACUCGCAGAAUGCUUGGGUACUGAAGGACUUCCCGAUUCUUUGCUUGAGGAAUUUGACCCCGGUGGUGGAAUUUGCCUCCUGCGUAGCGCCCCGCAGGGAGCUGUUUCCUCAGGCUGCAGAAGGUAUCAGCACGCCUGACACGGUGGGGGGGCGCGACGGGAGCUGUGGGGCAGGGGUCUGGCGGAGGCAGGCAGGAGGUCUCUGCCGUGACAGAGCUGUGGGGUGGGAGAGGGGGUCCUCAGCAACCUGAGUAGCAACCCAAAUUAGCAGCGGGGCGAACUAACCAGGUCCUUCGGGCUGGGAGCCGAGCUUUCGCGUACACCCAUGUACGUACAUUUGUGAGGGGGGCUGAUGCUCCCGGCCGAGCCAUGUGCCUGCUUGCGUGUAGGGUUGCCACCUGGCUGCUCUCCAGCUGGCAGGGCUGCCUUUACUCCACACAGACGGGGGACUGGUGACUCAGUUCAGCCUGCCUCUUCGUUAUGUGGCAGAGCGUGGGGCCCCCACGACUGAGCUGAGGCAAGAGGCAGGCAGCCCUGGGGAGCAAACAGCCUUGCCCUUUGCUGUCCUGGGCCGCAUCCUGGGGAAUUGGCUUUCCCAUGAGCCCAGUGACCCCUGAGCCCCACACAGCAGCAGGCAUUGCUCGGCCUCUUGCCCACACCCCAGCCCCCCCAGCCUCUGCUGAUCCUCGGUGCCAGAGCCAGGCACUGCUGGGCAUUUGUUCUACCCUUGUCCUUGUGCUACCUCUGACGGGGGCACCGCUGCUCUGGGGAGGCUGGGAGAGGGCGGUGGAAAAAACGUGACUCACGGGGGUAAUCCAAAACUGGGACGGGGUCAUAUGCUGGCGGCAGGUGGAGAGCGCUGACUUCCAAACCGAGGGGCAUUUGGCUGGAGGUUACCAGCCCUGGCAAGAGGGAGGAGCGAGGCCCCAGCCGAGCAGCUGGGCUUGAUGCAGAGAACACAGAUGCCGGAGACAGGACUCGCCCCAGCUGGAGCUGCUUUUUCCUCUUGGCUGCUGCAGAGGCCAGUGCGGGAGGAGAGGCUGCAGGGCUUUGCUUGCCUUGCUGGGGAGAUUGCCUCUGUGCUGCAGGUCUCCUGCGGGAGAGGAAGCCCCCACAGCAGGGCCAGUGACGUGGGGAGGGCAAGGAGAAGUGAAAUGGUUCCUUCUUUGAGGCAGAGCUUGUAACUCCCUGCUCCCAGGAUUGCCACCUUCCUUCCAUUCAUCUGCUGCAAACCCAGGGUUUCUCACCAGC
rnacentral:lncRNA from 1 species